AACGAACGCUGGCGGCAUGCCUAACACAUGCAAGUCGAACGAGACCUUCGGGUCUAGUGGCGCACGGGUGCGUAACGCGUGGGAACCUGCCCUUAGGUUCGGAAUAACUCCCCGAAAGGGGUGCUAAUACCGGAUAAUGUCUUCGGACCAAAGAUUUAUCGCCUUUGGAUGGGCCCGCGUUGGAUUAGCUAGUUGGUAGGGUAAAAGCCUACCAAGGCGACGAUCCAUAGCUGGUCUGAGAGGAUGAUCAGCCACACUGGGACUGAGACACGGCCCAGACUCCUAGGGGAGGCAGCAGUGGGGAAUAUUGGACAAUGGGCGAAAGCCUGAUCCAGCAAUGCCGCGUGAGUGAUGAAGGCCUUAGGGUUGUAAGGCUCUUUUACCCGGGAUGAUAAUGACAGAACCGGGAGAAUAAGCUCCGGCUAACUCCGU
rnacentral:rRNA from 1 species